rnacentral:tRNA from 1 species
GGGGAUUUAGCUCAGUGGUAAAGCACUUGCCUAGCAAGCAUAAAGCUCUAGGUUCAGUCCCCA